rnacentral:rRNA from 1 species
GUGGGGAAUAUUGGACAAUGGGCGAAAGCCUGAUCCAGCCAUGCCGCGUGUGUGAAGAAGGUCUUCGGAUUGUAAAGCACUUUAAGUUGGGAGGAAGGGCAGUAAGUUAAUACCUUGCUGUUUUGACGUUACCGACAGAAUAAGCACCGGCUAACUUCGUGCCAGCAGCCGCGGUAAUACGAAGGGUGCAAGCGUUAAUCGGAAUUACUGGGCGUAAAGCGCGCGUAGGUGGUUUUGUAAGUUGGAGGUGAAAUCCCAGGGCUCAACCUGGGAACUGCCUUCAAAACUGCAUGACUAGAGUGCUGUAGAGGGUAGUGGAAUUUCCUGUGUAGCGGUGAAAUGCGUAGAUAUAGGAAGGAACACCAGUGGCGAAGGCGACUACCUGGACUGAUACUGACACUGAGGUGCGAAAGCGUGGGGAGCAAACAGGAUUAGAAACCCUGGUAGUCC